rnacentral:tRNA from 2 species
UGGGGGGUCGUCUAAUUGGCAGGACACCUGGUUUUGGUCCAGGCAGUCGGGGUUCGAGUCCCUGCUCCCCAACAA